rnacentral:rRNA from 1 species
AUGGCGAGCCACGAAACCGACCCGUCCCCUGCCGCCCCCUCCAAGAAGAAGAAGAGGCACUCCAAGAAGCGCAAGGCCAUCGAAGUCACUGUAGAUGCCUCCUUUCCUGGCGCCGCCGCCCCCGUCGUCGGCUACUUUCCGACGGGCUACGACCCCCUUGCGGCCGCAGAGCCCCCACGUGCGCGGUUGUUCCGCCACGAGAAGCACCAUAACCGCGUCGAGCUAGUGGUCCGCGCCCCUGGUGGAGGCCCCGACUUCGUCGGCCGGAGCUACGCCGGCGAGGCCGCUGCGCCGCAGCUCUGCGGCUACGCCCUCGGCGUCCUCGACAAGGCCACCAGCACUCUGAAGAUUGUCCCCAUCGCCUCCAACAAGAUUUUGAGGCUAGAGCCACACUUUGAAGUGCAGCAACCGGCUCAUUCACAACAGUCAGCAGCAGAAGCAGGUUCUUCUGUAGCAGAUACUGAAUUGAACAGACAAGAUCUUACCCAGGCUUAUGGGACCAAGAAAGAUAAGGAUAAGGAUAAUAAGUGGAAGUCACUAAAAGAACAAAGGAAUGACCCUUCUGCUUAUUUGGACCUUGAUCUUGGAGAGUCCAAGACCACUGCAGAUGCCACUGAUAGUCAGGCAUCAAUGGAAGUUCGCAACAUUCCACCUUAUGAUCCUGCUGCAGAUACAUCUGAAAAGGCAUAUCUUUUUGAUGAGAUCAUUCCAAAAAAUAUACGGCCACACCUUCUUGAUAUUGUGGGACACUUUGAAUCGGGAGAAUUUGGUUUGAAAGGCUAUGGGAGUUUUGUCUCGAAUCGUGUGAAUAAGUUGCAGGAACUUCAGGGUGAAGAUCAGGAAAGGCUUGCUUGGAUACUAUCCUAUAUCACACAUCUCCUGUCCUUGUUGGCGCGCAACAGCUCCAUGUCCAAGCAGAAAAGAAAAGAAAAAGACCAGACCAUCCGUGGACCAAUGAUCCCACAGGCGGUGCACCGCAAGCUGUUGCUGAUGUUCACGGAGCCAGGGUCUUCUUCCUUGUCGACAGAGAAACACGAGCUUCUGAUCAAUUACAUUUUAGUACUCACACUUUUUGCUGAUGACUUCAGAUCUGAACCUACGGAUAUAUGUGCGGACUUGAAAAUGAACCGCCAGAUGCUUAAACCAUAUUAUGACCAGCUGGGAUGCAAGUCCGUGUCAACAGGUGCUUUUAAACCAGUUUUUAUGACACUUCCAGCACCCCUCAAGUUCCCACAACAAGUCACAAGGAGAAGGCGGCGAAAAUAA